GCAACUCGACUCCAUGAAGUCGGAAUCGCUAGUAAUCGUAGAUCAGAAUGCUACGGUGAAUACGUUCCCGGGCCUUGUACACACCGCCCGUCACACCAUGGGAGUGGGUUGCAAAAGAAGUAGGUAGCUUAACCUUCGGGAGGGCGCUUACCACUUUGUGAUUCAUGACUGGGGUGAAGUCGUAACAAGGUAACCGUAGGGGAACCUGCGGUUGGAUCACCUCCUUACCUUAAAGAA
rnacentral:rRNA from 1 species